rnacentral:rRNA from 1 species
ACGCACGCUGGCGGCGUGCUUCACACAUGCCAGUCGAACGGAAAGGCCCUGCUUUUGUGGGGUGCUCGAGUGGCGAACGGGUGAGUAACCCGUGAGUAACCUGCCCUUGACUUUGGGAUAACUUCAGGAAACUGGGGCUAAUACCGGAUAGGAGCUCCUGCUGCAUGGUGGGGGUUGGAAAGUUUCGGCGGUUGGGGAUGGACUCGCGGCUUAUCAGCUUGUUGGUGGGGUAGUGGCUUACCAAGGCUUUGACGGGUAGCCGGCCUGAGAGGGUGACCGGCCACAUUGGGACUGAGAUACGGCACAGACUCCUACGGGAGGCAGCAGUGGGGAAUAUUGCACAAUGGGCGGAAGCCUGAUGCAGCAACGCCGCGUGCGGGAUGACGGCCUUCGGGGUGUAAACCGCUUUCGCCUGUGACGAAGCGUGAGUGACGGUAAUGGGUAAAGAAGCACCGGCUAACUACGUG